GUGGGGAAUUUUGGACAAUGGGCGAAAGCCUGAUCCAGCAAUGCCGCGUGCAGGAUGAAGGCCCUCGGGUUGUAAACUGCUUUUGUACGAAACGAAAAGCCUGGGGCUAAUAUCCCCGGGUCAUGACGGUACCGUAAGAAUAAGCACCGGCUAACUACGUGCCAGCAGCCGCGGUAAUACGUAGGGUGCAAGCGUUAAUCGGAAUUACUGGGCGUAAAGCGUGCGCAGGCGGUUUUGUAAGACAGUGGUGAAAUCCCCGGGCUCAACCUGGGAACUGCCAUUGUGACUGCAAGGCUAGAGUGCGGCAGAGGGGGAUGGAAUUCCGCGUGUAGCAGUGAAAUGCGUAGAUAUGCGGAGGAACACCGAUGGCGAAGGCAAUCCCCUGGGCCUGCACUGACGCUCAUGCACGAAAGCGUGGGGAGCAAACAGGAUUAGAAACCCGAGUAGUCC
rnacentral:rRNA from 1 species